rnacentral:rRNA from 1 species
UACGUAGGGGGCUAGCGUUGUCCGGAAUCAUUGGGCGUAAAGCGCGCGUAGGCGGCCCGGUAAGUCCGCUGUAAAAGUCCAGGGCUCAACCCUGGAACGCCGGUGGAUACUGCCGUGCUUGAGGACUGGAGAGGAGACUGGAAUUUACGGUGUAGCGGUGAAAUGCGUAGAUAUCGUAAGGAAGACCAGUGGCGAAGGCGGGUCUCUGGACAGUUCCUGACGCUGAGGCACGAAGGUCAGGGGAGCAAACGGG